rnacentral:tRNA from 1 species
AGCGGGGUGGAGCAGUUGGCAGCUCGUCGGGCUCAUAACCCGAAGGUCACAGGUUCAAGUCCUGUCUCCGCAA